rnacentral:rRNA from 1 species
UACGAAGGGGGCUAGCGUUGUUCGGAAUCACUGGGCGUAAAGCGCACGUAGGCGGACUUUUAAGUCAGGGGUGAAAUCCCAAGGCUCAACCUUGGAACUGCCUCUGAUACUGGAAGUCUUGAGUGUGAGAGAGGUUGGUGGAACUGCGAGUGUAGAGGUGAAAUUCGUAGAUAUUCGCAAGAACACCAGUGGCGAAGGCGGCCAACUGGCUCAUAACUGACGCUGAGGUGCGAAAGCGUGGGGAGCAAACAGG